rnacentral:rRNA from 1 species
UACGAAGGUCCCAAGCGUUAUCCGGAUUUAUUGGGUUUAAAGGGUGCGUAGGCGGGUUAUUAAGUCAGUGGUGAAAGCCUGCAGCUCAACUGCAGAAUUGCCAUUGAUACUGAUGAUCUUGAGUAUGAUUGAGGUGGGCGGAAUGUGUCAUGUAGCGGUGAAAUGCUUAGAUAUGACACAGAACACCGAUUGCGAAGGCAGCUCACUAAGUCAUAACUGAUGCUGAUGCACGAAAGCGUGGGGAGCAAACAGG